UGGCCCCGGACGGGCAGCGAGGGGCCGCGCGCAGGGACCGGCCCCGGGCACCCCCUGGUCCCCCGAGCGGAUUUCCACGCGGAGAGGAUGUUGGCAGCCCCGGCGACCUGCCGAGACACAGCGGGAUCCACCUUCCAACUCCUGUCUUACCUCGGAUUUCGGUGCUGUCAGUCUGAAAAACAGACGUCCAUUUGGUACUCUAGAUGGACUGUCCUUCCCUGACCUAAAGCUGGGCCAUUUGGAGAUUUGGAGAACAAAGGACUGUCUUCCACAUCCUGACACCCAACCCGACACCCACUUGACACUACUGUGGAUAAUGCAAGAACAAAGGAAUGAACAGCAGAAAGUAAGAGAGAGAGAGAGAGGGGGAACCAAAAGAAGAAAGUUCUUAAAGACUUGGAGCAAAAAAUGA
rnacentral:lncRNA from 1 species